rnacentral:lncRNA from 1 species
UUAUUAAUACAAUCUAGUGCUGUCUGAUUCAUGUUUCCAAACAUGGUAAAAAUGUUUCUAUUUAUCCUGAUACUGGGAGUUCUCUGUUCAGGUUCAGCUACUGCGACAUGGCGGGGGAGAGCGACCUUGGCUGCCAUGUGAUGAUGACAAAUCCUUUGCUAUGCAUCAAAUGAGACCAAUUUCGGCCUCUCUUAUAUCUCAAUCUUCUAGUGGCGGUAACUCCAAAUGGGAUCGAGCUAUUCCAAUGGAUCUUGGACCGACAUUACAGUAUCCUCCACGUGCUGGUCAAGUUGUACCAUUUGGGCACCAAACUCCAUCAAAUAGGUUUAAAGAUACGAAUCCUGGUCCUUCUGCCAUAUCACGAACAGCUGCUGAUGAAGGAUCUAGGACUGGAAUUAAAGGGUCUGGAAUUUUGAGUUCUAUCAAUGCAACUGGAGGUGUUUCUGAGAGACAACCUUCGGGAGUGCUCAUACGUACUGAUAAACAGAAGUCCACUCUUCACAUUUCGGAGCCAGAAUUGUCUGCUACACCCAGGUCAAUUCAUGAUACAAGUGAUUUUUCUAAUUUUCUUACCUGAGCUAUCUGCGUGAUUGUCUGAAAGAUUUGAGUUUAAUUUGUCUUUUCUUAAUGACAGUCGACAAAGAAUAGAAUCGGCCAGUCGCCAAAUGACUAUAUUUUAUGGCGGUCAAGCCCAUGUUUUUGACAAAGUUCACCCCGAUAAGGUCUGCUUUCUGCACUUUUUUGAUCAACCGUUUGACUGAUACAUACCUGAUCAACUGCUUUUUGUACUAUUAACUUAAACAGAAGUAUUUUCAUGUUUAUUUGACCUGAUUAGUACGCGCAGAAAAAAUGCAUCCUUCAGUAUUCCCCGAUCCACUGUUAGAGAAUCUUUAUUAUCAAACGUAAUUUUUACUAUGCUUAUGAGUGUUAUGCUAAUUCUGGAAGUUAUUUGUAUUAUUACCUCGAAGUGGAGGUUGAAUGUCAUUAUCAAGGAAGCCUUUAGGGUUUAUGAUUCAAGGAGUUUGUGCUUUUUACUGUUGGAAUUUGGACAGGAAGGGUAGUGAAGAUCCAGAAGAACAUGUGUAUUGACGAAAGCUUACCUUAAUGGUAGCUGGAAGCCAAGAGACUUUGAUUAUGGUCACUGAGCUUAAGAUCUAAAGGACUAUUUAGAAAAUUUUCUUUGAAGUUUUCUUCAAAAAACUUCCUUAUGCUGUAGGACCCAGGGUUGUGGGGAGCAAGAAUGGUUUGCAACAAAUAGUCAAGUUUUCAAAAAUUAUUUUCUGUAUUGCUGUAAUCUCACUUUCAGCUUUUUGUUGUUUUAUGCUUGUACCUGUCUACUUUCUGAGCCCUUUCAUUUCGGCAGCUCUUUCGAUAAAUUGGCGUGGAAUGUGGGUGCAAGAGAUAGGAUUUCUUUGGGAGUAAGGUUGAUUAGUUUUUGCUCCCUUUCUUUUCUUAAAAACGUGCUAUGGAUUUUGUUUGUUCACCCUUCGCCCUUUCAUUUCGGCAGCUCUUUCGAUAAAUUGGGUGGUUGUGAUUGGUUUUGUAUGAAGUCAUUGAUGGAGAUAGUCAUGUAUGGGUUAAUUCCGAAUUACUUAGACUGAAAUUGCUAUAUAUGCACCGGCCUUUUAUGUCUUGAUUCCCCAUUGUUGAAUUGUCGAGAAUUUUAAUGCUUACUGGAUGGUACUUGAAGAUUAACUCGUGGUUUGAUAGUUUUUUGAUCAAUUAUGCUAGAAAGACAUGUUGGCAGUCAUUUGGAGGGGAUACCAUUUUAUCGAUCAAGAGGCGAGUUUCCAGGACCCGAUACAAGUAGGUUUGCAGGAACUAAACGAAGUAACUCUGACUCUUUUAUGGUGUCAUCAAAGGAGAAAUUUCCGCAAGUGCAACCAGAAUCACUUGAGAGCUCACAUUUGAUGAAGGUUCGUUCUGUUUCCUUCAUGGCAUGUUAUUUUAGAAUAGGUAAAGGGAUGAGGUCUUAUGCUGGUUUAAAUCUCAUUCCUGAAGUGCAUGUUUUGAAAAUAUUAGACUCCACUAAACAAUACAAUUUACAAGAUAUUAGCUUCUUUUUUUUCUUAUUAAUACAAUCUAGUGCUGUCUGAUUCAUGUUUCCAAACAUGGAAUCACUUGAGAGCUCACAUUUGAUGAAGGUUCGUUCUGUUUCCUUCAUGGCAUGUUAUUUUAGAAUAGGUAAAGGGAUGAGGUCUUAUGCUGGUUUAAAUCUCAUUCCUGAAGUGCAUGUUUUGAAAAUAUUAGACUCCACUAAACAAUACAAUUUACAAGAUAUUAGCUUCUUUUUUUUCUUAUUAAUACAAUCUAGUGCUGUCUGAUUCAUGUUUCCAAACAUGGUAAAAAUGUUUCUAUUUAUCCUGAUACUGGGAGUUCGCUGUUCAGGUUCAGCUACUGCGACAUGGCGGGGGAGAGCGACCUUGGCUGCCAUGUGAUGAUGACAAAUCCUUUGCUAUGCAUCAAAUGAGACCAAUUUCGGCCUCUCUUAUAUCUCAAUCUUCUAGUGGCGGUAACUCCAAAUGGGAUCGAGCUAUUCCAAUGGAUCUUGGACCGACAUUACAGUAUCCUCCACGUGCUGGUCAAGUUGUACCAUUUGGGCACCAAACUCCAUCAAAUAGGUUUAAAGAUACGAAUCCUGGUCCUUCUGCCAUAUCACGAACAGCUGCUGAUGAAGGAUCUAGGACUGGAAUUAAAGGGUCUGGAAUUUUGAGUUCUAUCAAUGCAACUGGAGGUGUUUCUGAGAGACAAC